rnacentral:rRNA from 1 species
UACGUAGGGUGCAAGCGUUGUCCGGAAUUAUUGGGCGUAAAGAGCUCGUAGGCGGUUUGUCACGUCGGCCGUGAAAACUCGGGGACUCAACCCCAAGCUUGCGGUCGAUACGGGCAGGCUCGAGUUCGGUAGGGGAGACUGGAAUUCCUGGUGUAGCAGUGAAAUGCGUAGAUAUCAGGAGGAACACCGAUGGCGAAGGCAGGUCUCUGGGCUGACACUGACGCUCAUGCACGAAAGCGUGGGGAGCAAACAAGG